AGAAAGAUCUUGAUGAGGCUUCAAAAGAUGGUAGGUAUAGUUGACCCCCAUUUUCCUAUAACUGGAAACGUGGUUGCUCCUGUAGUUCCACAAGUCUCUUGGCAGUUGACAUAUAACCUUUACCAUUUCAAAAAGAAAAAGAAAAAAUAAGUCUCUUAGUAUAUAUUGUUAAUUAAACUUCAAAACUUGCCUAGUGGCUGUCUGGCUGAGAUAUAUAUCUUCCGAGGCCUCAGGGUUGAUGUAAACAGCUUGCUCUUCUGUUCUUCAUCAAAAAACAGCUUGCUCUUCUGUUAUUUCUGGUU
rnacentral:lncRNA from 1 species